AUUGAACGCUGGCGGAAUGCUUUACACAUGCAAGUCGAACGGCAGCACGGGGGCAACCCUGGUGGCGAGUGGCGAACGGGUGAGUAAUACAUCGGAACGUGCCCAGUCGUGGGGGAUAACUACGCGAAAGCGUAGCUAAUACCGCAUACGAACUCAGGUUGAAAGCGGGGGAUCGCAAGACCUCGCGCUAUUGGAGCGGCCGAUGGCAGAUUAGGUAGUUGGUGGGGUAAAGGCUCACCAAGCCGACGAUCUGUAGCUGGUCUGAGAGGACGACCAGCCACACUGGGACUGAGACACGGCCCAGACUCCUACGGGAGGCAGCAGUGGGGAAUUUUGGACAAUGGGCGCAAGCCUGAUCCAGCCAUUCCGCGUGCAGGAUGAAGGCCCUCGGGUUGUAAACUGCUUUUGUACGGAACGAAACGCGCCGGGCUAAUACCCUGGCGUAAUGACGGUACCGUAAGAAUAAGCACCGGCUAACUACGUGCCAGCCGCCGCAGUAAGAC
rnacentral:rRNA from 1 species